GACGAACGCUGGCGGCGUGCUUAACACAUGCAAGUCGAACGGAAAGGCCCUGCUUUUGUGGGGUGCUCGAGUGGCGAACGGGUGAGUAACACGUGAGUAACCUGCCCUUGACUUUGGGAUAACUUCAGGAAACUGGGGCUAAUACCGGAUAGGAGCUCCUGCUGCAUGGUGGGGGUUGGAAAGUUUCGGCGGUUGGGGAUGGACUCGCGGCUUAUCAGCUUGUUGGUGGGGUAGUGGCUUACCAAGGCUUUGACGGGUAGCCGGCCUGAGAGGGUGGCCGGCCACAUUGGGACUGAGAUACGGCCCAGACUCCUACGGGAGGCAGCAGUGGGGAAGAUUGCACAAUGGGCGGAAGCCUGAUGCAGCAACGCCGCGUGCGGGAUGAUGGCCUUCGGGUUGUAAACCGCUUUCGCCUGUGACGAAGCGUGAGUGACGGUAAUGGGUAAAGAAGCACCGGCUAACUACGUG
rnacentral:rRNA from 1 species